AGAGUGCGUAAUAGCUCACUGGUCAAGUGGUCCUGCGCCGAAAAUUUAUCGGGGCUAAAGCCUAUCACCGAAACUUGGAUAGUAGUUUUUUGGAACUACUAGGUAGGAGAGCGUUCCCUGGCGAGCGAAGUAAGACCGUAAGGACUUAUGGACGGCAGGGAAGUGAGAAUGCCGGUAUGAGUAGCGAUAAGGCAGGUGAGAAUCCUGCCCGCCGAAAACCUAAGGAUUCCUGAGGAAGGGUCGUCCGCUCAGGGUAAGUCGGGACCUAAGCUGAGGGCGAAAGCCGUAGGCGAUGGACAAUCGGUUGAUAUUCCGAUACCACCCUGGAACCGCCCAUGAGAAUCAUGAGUUUUGCGUUACAGCUUCGGCUGCAGCAAAGGACUUAUGAGGAUCAAACAAUGGGGUGACGCAGAAGGGUAAGCCAUCAGGCGACUGGAAGUGCCUGUCUAAGGGUGUAGGAGGUGGCAAAGGUAAAUCCGUGCCACAUAACUCUGAGGCCUAAUGGGGACGUGAAAUUAUAGUAACGGAACUGGCUGACCCCAUGCUGCCAAGAAAAGCCUCUAGUGAGGGGCCAGGGUGCCCGUACCGCAAACCGACACAGGUAGGUGGGGUGAGAAUCCUAAGGCGCGCGAGAGAACUCUCGUUAAGGAACUCGGCAAAUUAACCCUGUAACUUUGGAAGAAAGGGUGCCCUAUGUAGUGUGGCAUAUGUAUACCAUGUGUUGCAUGAGAGGGCCGCAGAGAAAUGGCCCAAGCGACUGUUUAUCAAAAACACAGGUCUCUGCUAAGUCGAAAGACGACGUAUAGGGGCUGACGCCUGCCCAGUGCCGGAAGGUUAAGGAGAGGGGUUAGCGUAAGCGAAGCUCUGAACCGAAGCCCCGGUGAACGGCGGCCGUAACUAUAACGGUCCUAAGGUAGCGAAAUUCCUUGUCGGGUAAGUUCCGACCCGCACGAAUGGCGUAAUGACUUGGGCACUGUCUCAACAAGGGACUCGGUGAAAUUGUAGUACCGGUGAAGAUGCCGGUUACCCGCGAUUAGACGGAAAGACCCCGUAGAGCUUUACUGUAGCUUAUCAUUGAGUUUCGGUAUUGUCUGUACAGGAUAGGUGGGAGGCUUAGAAGUAGGGGCGUCAGCUUCUAUGGAGCCAACGUUGGGAUACCACCCUGACAGUACUGAAACUCUAACCGGAGGCUUUGAAACAAGUCACGGGACAUUGUUAGGUGGGCAGUUUGACUGGGGCGGUCGCCUCCUAAAAAGUAACGGAGGCGCCCAAAGGUUCCCUCAGCGCGGUUGGAAAUCGCGCGCAGAGUGCAAAGGCAGAAGGGAGCCUGACUGCGAGACAAACAAGUCGAGCAGAGACGAAAGUCGGGCUUAGUGAUCCGGUGGUUCCGAGUGGAAGGGCCAUCGCUCAACGGAUAAAAGCUACCUCGGGGAUAACAGGCUGAUCUCCCCCAAGAGUCCACAUCGACGGGGAGGUUUGGCACCUCGAUGUCGGCUCGUCGCAUCCUGGGGCUGAAGUAGGUCCCAAGGGUUGGGCUGUUCGCCCAUUAAAGCGGCACGCGAGCUGGGUUCAGAACGUCGUGAGACAGUUCGGUCCCUAUCUGUCGUGGGCGCAGGAGAUUUGAGGGGAGCCGUCCCUAGUACGAGAGGACCGGGAUGGAUGUACCGAUGGUGUAUCAGUUAUUCCGCCAGGAGUAUAGCUGAGAAGCCAAGUAUAGACAGGAUAAGCGCUGAAAGCAUCUAAGCGCCAAGCCUACCCCAAGAUUAGAUCUCCCACGGAUUAGUCCGGUAAGACCCCAGAGAGAUUAUCUGGUUGAUAGGCCGGCGGUGUAAUGGUAGCGAUACCUUCAGCCAGCCGGUACUAAUAGGUCGAGGGCUUGU
rnacentral:rRNA from 1 species